GGCGCUUCACACCCACCUAGAGGAGCCUGUUCUAGAACCGAUGACCCCCGUUCAACCUCACCUUCUCUUGUUCCCCCCGCCUAUAUACCGCCGUCGUCAGCCCACCCUGUGAAGGCCCAGUAGUGAGCAGAAUUGGCAUAGCCCAAAACGUCAGGCCGAGGUGCAGCGUAUGAGAAGGGAAGAAAUGGGCUACAAUUGCUAAAACAGCUAAAACGAAUUGCAAUGCUGAAACUGCACACAUGAAGGAGGAUUUAGAAGUAAGGGGACAAGCAGAGUGUUCCCCUGAAAUGGUUCUGAAGCGUGCACACACCGCCCGUCACUCUCCCCAAGUUAGAACACCAUUACUUAGUAGCUAAACACCUACAUCCUACAAAGGGGAGGCAAGUCGUAACAUGGUAAGUGUACCGGAAGGUGCACUUGGAAGAAUU
rnacentral:rRNA from 1 species